AAUGAAGUGCCUGAAUAAAGGAUUACAAUGAUAGAGUAAAUUAUGUAACUAAAUGUUACCUUCAUUA
rnacentral:tRNA from 1 species